rnacentral:rRNA from 1 species
AUCUAAAGCCUUCACUCUGAACGCACCUGAUCUCGUCUGAUCUUGGAAGCUAAGCAGGGUCGGGCCUCGUUAGUACUUGGAUAGGAGACCGCCUGGGAAUACCGGGUGCUGUAGGCU